AAAACAUUGAGAGUUUACACUGAAAAUUUGGAGAAGAAAAAUUAAAAAGAAACUUAAAAUAGAUGUAGACCACACACAAUGCACCCGGUUGCAAAAUCCAGUGCCAGAGAACCCCCGACUCAGCUCAGCCUGUCCACCCGUGAUUUUGGAAGACGCUCUCUGUAGCUCAGUCGUGAAUCUGGAGUGCACUCUGAAAUCUUCAACACAAUUGCCUCGGCCCACGUGAGGCAGAUGGUAGAGCCUUGCCUCAGUUGAAUUCAACACCAACUUAUUCUGUUAUUCUGGCCAACUCAUUUCACCUGUCCGGCAGAUUCUGGUAGAAUCUUUCUUUGAGCUCACAGGAAUGUAGUGAACAUUUGGGAGACUCUGAAGACCUGAAGAGUAUUAGAUGAAGAGGAUAUUUAAUGGUGACGUAGUGGAGGUGCUGUAAAGACAGAGAUUAGAGGCAGAUAUGGGUACAAGGACUCCCAGCAGACCCGCAGAGAGACAAAGAUACUAACCAUGCUGAACCGCGCAUCUACUAAAAUAUGCUGAAGACUGAAAAAGAAAAAAUGUAAAUGAGCCCCUAGAAGAAAUCCUUUCAGUUCUUUUUUCAUCAGAAUGGUACCUUUCCACGGCUAAAGACACUCAAGACCUGCGUGCUCCUGUGUUCAGCCUCCCAGAUUUCCUGGGACAUCACGCAAAUUGUCUCUUCAAUCGCCUUUCACGCGUGUGUUAACCACGUCUUCACCGGGUUGCUGGCCCACUCUUUCUGUAGGACACCCUCUUGCAUAGCACACUCCUCCUAUAAAACGUGGACUUCUAUAAUAAUGUGGACUUCUCCUAUAAAACGUGGACUUCUAUAAUAACGAGGACUUCUCCUAUAAAACGUGGACUUCUAUAAUAACAUGGACUUCUCCCAUGUUUGUGUCAGUGAUUUCCUUUCCCUCUUAUCUCAAGCCUUCUUCUUUUUCUAUCACAUUUUCUAUCACAUUCUAUCUCAAUCUCCUUUUUCUAUCACAUUUCCUACAUUCGUGCCUGUGAGUUUAUGCAGCUAUUGAUGUUGUCAUACAGUCCAUAACAAUAAAUACAAAAUCCAUA
rnacentral:lncRNA from 1 species